GGCACUGGGGACCGCAGCGGGCUGCAGAGGGGGACGGCAGCCUCCCAGGAUGAGUCUUGAGGGAGCCUGUGGCCCAUGGCCAGGCUGGGACUGUGACGUCACCUCCGCUAGUCCCCACAAGGACAGAAAGGAGUGAAAGAGAGUGUGAGAGAGCAUGAGCGUGGCAGAGGGAGAAG